rnacentral:tRNA from 1 species
UCCCUGGUGGUCUAGUGGUUAGGACUCAGUGCUUUCACUGCUGUAGCAUGGGUUCAAUUUCUGAUCUGGGAA